AUUGAACGCUGGCGGCAUGCCUUACACAUGCAAGUCGAACGGUAACAGGUCUUCGGAUGCUGACGAGUGGCGAACGGGUGAGUAAUACAUCGGAACGUGCCUAGUAGUGGGGGAUAACUACUCGAAAGAGUGGCUAAUACCGCAUGAGAUCUACGGAUGAAAGCAGGGGAUCGCAAGACCUCGUGCUACUAGAGCGGCCGAUGGCAGAUUAGGUAGUUGGUGGGAUAAAAGCUUACCAAGCCGACGAUCUGUAGCUGGUCUGAGAGGACGAUCAGCCACACUGGGACUGAGACACGGCCCAGACUCCUACGGGAGGCGGCAGUGGGGAAUUUUGGACAAUGGGCGCAAGCCUGAUCCAGCAAUGCCGCGUGCAGGAUGAAGGCCUUCGGGUUGUAAACUGCUUUUGUACGGAACGAAAAGCCCUGGGUUAAUACCCUGGGGUCAUGACGGUACCGUAAGAAUAAGCACCGGCUAACUACGUGCCAGCCGCCGCGGUAACAC
rnacentral:rRNA from 1 species